rnacentral:rRNA from 1 species
AAAGCCCUGGGCUCAACCUAGGAAUUGCACUUAAAACUGGUUAACUAGAGUAUUGUAGAGGAAGGUAGAAUUCCACGUGUAGCGGUGAAAUGCGUAGAGAUGUGGAGGAAUACCGGUGGCGAAGGCGGCCUUCUGGACAGAUACUGACGCUGAGAUGCGAAAGCGUGGGGAGCAAACAGGAUUAGAUACCCUGGUAGUCCACGCUGUAAACGAUGUCGAUUUGGAGUUUGUUGCCUAGAGUGAUGGGCUCCGAAGCUAACGCGAUAAAUCGACCGCCUGGGGAGUACGGCCGCAAGGUUAAAACUCAAAUGAAUUGACGGGGGCCCGCACAAGCGGUGGAGCAUGUGGUUUAAUUCGAUGCAACGCGAAGAACCUUACCUGGUCUUGACAUCCACAGAAUCCUGUAGAGAUAUGGGAGUGCCUUCGGGAACUGUGAGACAGGUGCUGCAUGGCUGUCGUCAGCUCGUGUUGUGAAAUGUUGGGUUAAGUCCCGCAACGAGCGCAACCCUUAUCCUUUGUUGCCAUCGGUUCGGCCGGGAACUCAAAGGAGACUGCCGUUGAUAAAGCGGAGGAAGGUGGGGACGACGUCAAGUCAUCAUGGCCCUUACGACCAGGGCUACACACGUGCUACAAUGGCGUAUACAAAGGGAGGCGACCUCGCGAGAGCAAGCGGACCUCAUAAAGUACGUCUAAGUCCGGAUUGGAGUCUGCAACUCGACUCCAUGAAGUCGGAAUCGCUAGUAAUCGUGAAUCAGAAUGUCACGGUGAAUACGUUCCCGGGCCUUGUACACACCGCCCGUCACACCAUGGGAGUGGGUUGCACCAGAAGUAGAUAGCUUAACCUUCGGGAGGGCGUUUACCACGGUGUGGUUCAUGACUGGGGUGAAGUCGUAACAAGGUAACCGUAGGGGAACCUGCGGUUGGAUCACCUCCUUAC